rnacentral:lncRNA from 10 species
AUUGCUUUGCCAACAUUGCUGCAACAGAUGUGAGCAUUUAUUAUUAAAGUGGAAAAGUCUAGGGCCAACCUGACCCUAUUCCUUUGUUGAUAACCCUUGUCUUCUGCCUUAUGCUUGAGGACUUUUCAUUUUUUAAUCAUAUGGAUAUUAUGAGAAUAUGUCUAUAGAGUAGGUGUCAUUUAAUUAUUUUUCUUAGGAAACAGUGAGAACUUUUGAUGUGUCCUUUUGGGCGCUUUUUCAGCUUUAUAGAAUUCUUGUCUAUGGUGGCUUUGACUGUCACUGCUUCUGAUCUAAUUUUUCUGAUCUCUUCCUUGGACUGUAAUGCAAAUGUGCACAAAGGUUGUAAAGAUGCUGCGCCUGCAUGCACCAAGAAAUUCCAAGAGAAAUAUAACAAGAACAAACCACAGACCAUCCUUGGAAAUUCUUCAUUUAGAGACAUCCCACAGCCUGGUCUCUCCUUGCACCCUUCUUCCUCCGUGCCUGUUGGAUUGCCGACUGGAAGGAGGGAGACUGUGGGACAGGUCCAUCCAUUGUCC